AAGAGAAGAGAACACGUGCUGUGUUAGCAUUUUCAAUAAAUUAGUUCCAGUACAAAGUUAUCAAGGUGUUUGAAAUCAAAACAAGUUGACUCAAAAAUACAUCAUCACAUCAUUUAAUCUUAAACUCAACUAUUGAACAAUAGAAGAUUUGAAUGAAAGAAUGGGUCAACUCUCAUGUGUUAGUGGAAAGUUACCAAAACAUGUUAAGGACUUAAUUUAUAAUUUUUGUAUUUCUUCAUUUGUUAUUUUAUUUGUUACAUGUAUAUUCAAAACAUUACAGGCGUUAUGAAU